CCACUCUCUCUCAUUCACUCAUCUGAUUUUUGAAGACCUCUCAAAGUGUUCUCUCCAUUUUUCAAGCCCAAGAACACCAAGGAAACUUUGAGGCUAAGUCUUGGUCUAGGAAGUAUUUUCCCUAAGUUGGUUAGGGUUUUUGAAAGGUUUUGGAGGAGCCAAAGCUAAUAGGAAGGUCCAAACCUUAAGCAAGAACACCAAAGAGUAUUGGCUAAGCGUAACUGGACUGAACGUUGGAGGGUGAAAACCUGCUGAGCGCUAAGGACUCCAAGUAAGUGCAAGGGCAAGGCAGAGCAGUGAGCGUUGGAGUCUUCCUUGCAAAUGUACAUGUGGACCGACCUUUUG